rnacentral:rRNA from 1 species
GACGAACGCUGGCGGCGUGGAUUAGGCAUGCAAGUCGAACGGUAUCAUCCUUUCGGGGGUGAGAGAGUGGCGAACUGGUGAGUAACACGUAGGUUAUCUACCCUCAAGACGGGGACAACCCAGGGAAACUUGGGCUAAUACCGGAUGUGAGCAACUUUUAGUUGUUUGAAAGGUGGCGUAAGCUGUCGCUUGGGGAUGAGCCUGCGUCCUAUUAGUUAGUUGGUGAGGUAACGGCUCACCUAGGCAAUGAUAGGUAGGCGGCCUUAACGGGUGGUCGCCCACACUGGGAUUGAGAUACGGCCCAGACUCCUACGGGAGGCAGCAGUCGAGAAUAGUCUACAAUGGUCGGAAGACUGAUAGUGCGACGCCGCGUGAACGAUGAAUCCCUUCGGGGUGUAAAGUUCUUUUAUAUGUGAGCAGUGCUUCUUAUAUUAACAGUAUGGGGAAGAGAUAUUAGCAUAUGAAUAACGCAAACGGCUAAACUCCGUGCCAGCAGCCGCGGUAAUA